CGAAGGGUGCAAGCGUUAAUCGGAAUUACUGGGCGUAAAGCGUGCGUAGGCGGUUUCUUAAGUCCGUUGUGAAAGCCCUGGGCUCAACCUGGGAACUGCGAUGGAUACUGAGGAGCUGGAGUACGGUAGAGGAAGGUGGAAUUCCCGGUGUAGCGGUGAAAUGCGUAGAGAUCGGGAGGAACAUCAGUGGCGAAGGCGGCCUUCUGGACCAGUACUGACGCUGAGGCACGAAAGCGUGGGGAGCAAACAGGAUUAGAUACCCUGGUAGUCCACGCCCUAAACGAUGCGGACUGGACGUUGGGCACAACUUGGUGCUCAGUGUCGAAGCUAACGCGUUAAGUCCGCCGCCUGGGGAGUACGCUCGCAAGAGUG
rnacentral:rRNA from 1 species